rnacentral:sRNA from 1 species
CUCCCUCUCCGUCCUUGUUCAAGCCCCUGCCCCCAAUCCCCGAGCCCGCAGAAGGUGUGGGUUGGGUGGCAUUGGGUGAAGUCAGAAUAAACACUUUCAGAAAGCCCCUAGCUUCACGUCUUAGGAGUCUCCCAACGUUCUGGACUAGGGUUUUAUGACCCCAGCUUCUCUAUUUUCUAGAACUCCUGAGCUGAGAAAACCGGAGGGAGGAAGCCCUUGUCUAGAACCGUUUCAUGCGUCAAUUAUAACACGUCAGAGCCUGGGCCCUCCUUCUGGGGAAAGAUUAACAAAGCCUUAGUUCCCUUGCUCCUGGAUUAACCAGUGGUUAGUGGAGAUGCGAGAAAAGACGCUAAUGCUGGCAAGGCAAUAACAUGGACUUCCUCGCCUUAUUCCUCUUUUCAUCAGAGAUGGCAAAACCAGCAGCUCCUUCUGCCUCGAGUUGCUUACUGAACUGAAAGGAAAGGAGUGUACACAAAGAAGCCAUAGGAACAAAAGCCAGCUGGUGGUGCGCAGGUGCCAGGACUGUACUGGGCACCAGGCAGCCAGGAGAGAAAGGGAGAAGGCAGAUCCACAUUCUAUCCACACUGGGAGGCAGAGACUUCUGGAGGGCCACAAGAGCUCUCAGGGAAGGAGUGGAUUCCUCAGUGUUCCCCAAGGUACCCUUUGGCUAAGGGCAAACUCUCCUCUCCGCUUCAUGGUUGGGGGGCAGAAUUAGACACACAUGACAACAGUUCAUUAGGCUUGGAGGAGGGGAUCUCAGAGAGGGAACAAUUGUUUAUUACGUUCAGUCCUAGAUUCCAUCUCUAUCCACGCAAAAAAUAAAACAAAAUAAGUUUGCUAGCUUUGAAAGUGAUAAAGCAGGAAAAUUUCCUGUGCUCUUUCAAGGUGCAGACCAGAGAAUACCAAAGGGUGCCAUGUCUUGCCUAUAAUGUGUUUGGAAUUCUUUGAGGCAAUGAAUGAAGCAAAAGAUGAUGAGAAGCAGAAUGAUGAGGUCUGGAAGACUACACUGCUCCACCAGCAAGGGUGGUGGGAAGGAAGGGGCUACAGCGACUGAGAAGGUGUUCAAUCCUGGAGAGUGGGUCCCACACUAAGUGGCUGAACGUCUGGACACCUGGAAGACACUGGGAUGACAGCUGUCGUCCACAAGAGAGAGGACGAGGCAUCACCCAGAAAGGGAGGAGAGAGUCACCUAAAGUAGGAAGCCCAAGACUGGCAUUGGUCCAGGUGGCUACACCCUACCAGAAGCUAGCCAUAUGGAAGUCAGGAGAGAUGUGCCAGCCAUAAAACCUGGUAUUCGGUGCUACUCAGAAAGCCAAAGCAGGAGAAUCACCUGAGUCCAGUAGUUCAACAUGUCGACCCUGAUUCUUAAGAAUUAAUUAGUUAAUUCAAGGAAGAAAAAAAACGCAGAGCCUCUGGGGGCCUUUAUGUUUGAAGAACACCUGGGUGUGGGCUGGGGAGGUAGCUUGGUCAGUAAAGUGCUCCAUGUGCCUCCACCCCCUUAUGCACACAACAAAGCAAAAGGAAACAAAGUAGCCGGUGAAGGGGGCUAAACCAGAGGAUAUGGCAGAACUGGGCCUCCGCACUGUGCCAGGCAAUGUGCUAAGAUCCUUCCUUAGUUCACUGGCGGUCAAUUCCUCCUCCUGCCUGGUCAAUUUACACUGUGGAGGUUAGGGAUUGAAAGUCUUCAGGCCUAAAGGCAAUUGCCCUCACCUGCUGGCCUCUCUUCUGCCCUACAGAUAAGGAAACUGGCCUGACAGUGUAGAGUAGCAUUCCCAGAGCCAGUUAGGACUGGCUUAGAGAUACUUUGUUUGCUUACUUUUUUUUUUCUUAGACAAGAUCUCUCUAUGUAGUUCUGACUGUCCUGAAACUCACUAUG